UAGGGAAUAUUGGUAAUCUGGGAAACCGGGAACCAGCAACGCCGCGUGUGCGAUGAAGGCCUUCGGGUCGUAAAGCACUUUUCGAGGGGAUGAGGAAGGACAGUACCCUCGGAAUAAGUCUCGGCUAACUACGUGCCAGCAGCCGCGGUAAAACGUAGGAGGCAAGCGUUAUCCGGAUUUACUGGGCGUAAAGCGCGUGUAGGCGGUUCGAUAAGUUGGAUGUGAAAGCUCCUGGCUCAACUGGGAGAGGUCGUUCAAUACUAUCGGGCUAGAGAGUGGUAGAGGAAGGUGGAAUUCCGAGUGUAGUGGUGAAAUGCGUAGAUAUUCGGAGGAACACCAGUGGCGAAGGCGGCCUUCUGGACCACUUCUGACGCUCAGACGCGAAAGCUAGGGGAGCAAACGGG
rnacentral:rRNA from 1 species